rnacentral:rRNA from 1 species
AGUGCUUAAGAAAAUAUUUAAGAUAUUGUCUUGCUCAAUGUAUAUUAAUAUAAAUUGCCGCAGUACUCUGACUGUGCAAAGGUAGCAUAAUAAUUUGUCCUUUAAUUAAGGUCUUGAAUGAAUGGCUUUAUGGAAAGAAACUGUUUCUUAUAUUUUUUAUAAAACUUACUUUUUAAGUGAAAAAGCUUAAAUAAUCUUGGAGGACGAGAAGACCCUAUGAAUUGAUAAUAAAAUCAUUUAAUAUUUUUAUUUCUUUGUUGGGGCAACAAGAAAACAAAAAACUUUUCUUUUUAUAAUAAAUUAAUAAAACAGAUUUUACAAAAAAGAAACAAUUACCAUAGGGAUAACAGCAUAAUUUUGAAAAAAGUUUGUGACCUCGAUGUUGGACUAGGAAUUAUAUGGAUUAAAAGUUCAUACGUAUAGUUCUGUUCGA